rnacentral:misc_RNA from 1 species
GGAAACUCUCAGCACCUUUGGUUGAAGAUGAAUUGAAUACUAAUCACCAGAAAUUCCUGAAAGAACUAGGGGAAAAUACUCGGGGCAGAGAAAAUAGCACUGCAUUGUUUGCUUCUUUGGUUAUCAAGGGUUUGCAAUUUGUUCUAAGGCAGAUUAAGAAACUCAAAGGUGAAAUAAGCAAAGCACGCAUCAAAUUGUUGGAACCAUUAAUCAAGGGACCUGCUGGUUUUGAAUACCUUAGAAGUUCUUUUUCCAACCGCUAUGGUCCUCCUACUGAGGCUCUAAUCUCUCUACCAUUAGUGAAGCAAUGGCUAUCUUCUGUCAUGUUAGUGGCUGUGCAAGAGUGGGAUGACCACCUGAGUUCAUUAUCAUCUCUGAGGUUGAGCAGUGGGGCACAUUCUUCGGAGAAAGCUCCAAUCACACUUAGAGCUGGAGGUAGCUCUCUAAGGAUAUCAGAUCCUCCAACCCUGAAGACUAAUGCCGAACAACCAGAAUGCAAGGGAGAUAAGGUUGAUCUAUUUUUAAGGCUUGGUUUGUUGCAACUUGUCUGUGAAAUUGAGGGGUUGACCGUGGAAACACUACCCGAGACUUUGAAAUUGAAUUUCUCCAGAUUGAGAGCUGUCCAGGCUAUCCUCCAGAAAAUCAUUGUUGUCUGUACUAGCAUAUUGGUUUUGCGGCAGACUCUUCUUGCCGAAUGCCUGGUUAGCAGCCCCUCAGAGAUGGAAGAUAUAUCAUCAAAAUCUAUUACAAAGCUGUUUAAGCUUCUGGAUAACAUGGAGGAUGCUGGUAUUACUGAAGUUGUUGAUACACUGAGCCUUUGCUUAGAAGGUGAUGAGCCAAAGAAGCUUCAAGCGAGGAAGGAGAUCAUGGCGAACGUGUUGGCAAAGAGCUUGCGAGCAGGGGAUGCCAUUUUCACUCGAGUUUCGCGCACUGUUUUUUUGGCAGCAAAAGCAAUUUUACUUUGCGGAAGUGUAGCUGAGGGUGGGCAAUUGGCGGAGAACACCCUGAAACGUGUUGGUGCCAAUCUACUCACUGGAAAGCUGGUUGAGGCUAUGAAAGAUCUGUUGGUUGUGGCAACUGUGUCAGCCAGAGUUCAUGGUUCAUGGUAUGUAGAGGUGCUUAAAAAUAUGAGAGCUUUAUAGCACACACACUUGUUCAAGAAAUUGUCAGCUUGCAUUCUUACAUGAAUGUAUAGGACGGGAAAGUUGAUCUUACUAUAUGCAAUAUAAUGUAUUAUGAAAGAAGUAUUGUUUCUAAAUAUAA